GCGGGUAUAGUAUAACGGCUAUUAUGCGACCUUUCCAAGGUUGAGACGGGGGUUCGAUUCCCCCUACCCGCU
rnacentral:tRNA from 1 species